rnacentral:rRNA from 1 species
GACAGAGGGGGCAAGCGUUGCUCGGAAUUACUGGGCGUAAAGGGCGCGUAGGCGGAAUGGCAAGUCGGUCGUGAAAUCCUUCGGCUCAACCGAAGAACGUCGAUCGAAACUGCCGUUCUUGAGGAUUGCAGAGGAGACUGGAAUUCCCGGUGUAGCGGUGAAAUGUGUAGAGAUCGGGAGGAACACCGGUGGCGAAGGCGGGUCUCUGGACAGUUCCUGACGCUGAGGCGCGAAGGCCAGGGGAGCAAACGGG